GACGAACGCUGGCGGCGUGCCUAAUACAUGCAAGUCGAACGAGAGCGACCGGUGCUUGCACUGGUCACUCUAGUGGCGAACGGGUGAGUAACACGUGGGUAACCUGCCCAUCAGAGGGGGAUAACAUCCGGAAACGGAUGCUAAAACCGCAUAGGUCUUCGAGCCGCAUGGCUUGAAGAGGAAAAGAGGCGCAAGCUUCUGCUGAUGGAUGGACCCGCGGUGCAUUAGCUAGUUGGUGAGGUAACGGCUCACCAAGGCCGUGAUGCAUAGCCGACCUGAGAGGGUGAUCGGCCACAUUGGGACUGAGACACGGCCCAAACUCCUACGGGAGGCAGCAGUAGGGAAUCUUCCGCAAUGGACGAAAGUCUGACGGAGCAACGCCGCGUGAGUGAAGAAGGUUUUCGGAUCGUAAAACUCUGUUGUUAGAGAAGAACAAGUGCUAGAGUAACUGUUAGCGCCUUGACGGUAUCUAACCAGAAAGCCACGGCUAACUACGUG
rnacentral:rRNA from 1 species